rnacentral:rRNA from 1 species
UAGAGUUUGAUCCUGGCUCAGGACGAACGCUGGCGGCGUGCCUAACACAUGCAAGUCGAGCGAGAGACUUCGGUCUCUAGCGGCGGACGGGUGAGUAACACGUGGGCAACCUACCUCAUAGUGGGGGAUAGCCCUCCGAAAGGAGGAUUAAUACCGCAUAACAUUGCUUUAUCGCAUGGUAGAGCAAUCAAAGGAGUAAUCCGCUAUGAGAUGGGCCCGCGGCGCAUUAGCUAGUUGGUGAGGUAAAGGCUCACCAAGGCGACGAUGCGUAGCCGACCUGAGAGGGUGAUCGGCCACAUUGGAACUGAGACACGGUCCAGACUCCUACGGGAGGCAGCAGUGGGGAAUAUUGCACAAUGGGCGAAAGCCUGAUGCAGCAACGCCGCGUGAGUGAUGAAGGCCUUCGGGUUGUAAAGCUCUGUCUUCAGGGACGAUAAUGACGGUACCUGAGGAGGAAGCCACGGCUAACUACGUGCCAGCAGCCGCGGUAAUA